GACGAACGCUGGCGGCGUGCUUAACACAUGCAAGUCGAACGGAAAGGCCCUGCUUGCAGGGUACUCGAGUGGCGAACGGGGGGGAAACACGCGUGUGUACUGCCCAGCACAUAGGGAUAUGCCUGGAAAACUGGGUCUAUUACCGGACAGAAGACAUAUUGCGUGAGGUGGUGGGAAAGUAUGUUUGGUGUGGGGGGAGCGCGCGGCCUAUCCGCUUGGUGGUGGGGUUACUGCUUACCAAGGCGGAGCCGGGUAGCCGGCCUGGGAGGGUGGACAGGCACAUUGGGACUGGGACUCGGCCCCGACCCCGACUGGAGGGAGCAGCGGGGGAUAGUGAUAAAUGGGAGCGAGCCUGAGGCAGCGACGCCGCGGGGGGGAUGACGGCCUUCGGGUUGGAAUCUCCUUUCGCUAGGGACGAAGCUGUUAGUGACGGUACCUAGAUAAGAAGCACCGGCUAACUACGUG
rnacentral:rRNA from 1 species